UACGUAGGGAGCAAGCGUUGUCCGGAAUCAUUGGGCGUAAAGCGCGCGUAGGCGGCCCGAUAAGUCCGCUGUGAAAGUCAACGGCUCAACUGUUGGAUGCCGGUGGAUACUGUCGGGCUAGAGUACGGAAGAGGCAAGUGGAAUUCCUGGUGUAGCGGUGGAAUGCGCAGAUAUCAGGAGGAACACCUAUAGCGAGGGCAGCUUGCUGGGACGUUACUGACGCUAAGGCGCGAAAGCGUGGGGAGCAAACAGG
rnacentral:rRNA from 1 species